rnacentral:lncRNA from 1 species
AUUUAUCUUCCUUCAGAAUUCAUCCUUCUAAAGAAGUCAUCUUAGUGAAACAGUCCAUAGCACAUGUGCCUUGUCCCUGUGUUCAGGACCACAGGAAUCUGCGUCUAUCACAGAAUGCUGAGAAAGGACAUACCUUAAUUAACACUAUUGGAUACAGCUUUCAUUUCCCAGUCUGAUCGGCUCUUUGAAAGAUGCCAAGGGCUCCAUUUGCUCUCUUCAACACCUACAAAUUCAGUUUGCCCCUUAUUCAUUAUUUUACUGCAUGCUUUUGUUGUUGUCUUGGUUCUGGGGCUUGAACCCAGGACUUCACGCACACUAAGCACACGCCUGCCACUGAGCUACACGCCCAGCCCAUGUGUUCUCUUUCUGAUAGGAGUCUGGCAUUCACUAGUGGUAAGAUCUUAAACAACUUGAGUUCUCUAUAAAUGUUCCCUCUAAAAAAUGGGCAAAAUUAGUACCUUCCUCCAGAAGGUUAAGGCUUAAAUCAAUCAAUAUAUAAAGCACUUAGACUAGGACAUGGA